rnacentral:rRNA from 1 species
CCCAGACUCCUACGGGAGGCAGCAGUGAGGAAUAUUGGUCAAUGGGCUUACGCCUGAACCAGCCAAGUCGCGUGAGGGAAGACUGCCCUAUGGGUUGUAAACCUCUUUUGCCGGGGAGCAAGCGUGCGUUCGUGAACGCGCGUCGAGAGUACCCGGAGAAAAAGCAUCGGCUAACUCCGUGCCAGCAGCCGCGGUAAUACGGAGGAUGCGAGCGUUAUCCGGAUUUAUUGGGUUUAAAGGGUGCGUAGGCGGGAUGCCAAGUCAGCGGUAAAAAUGCGGUGCUCAACGCCGUCGAGCCGUUGAAACUGGCGUUCUUGAGUGGGCGAGAAGUAUGCGGAAUGCGUGGUGUAGCGGUGAAAUGCAUAGAUAUCACGCAGAACUCCGAUUGCGAAGGCAGCAUACCGGCGCCCUACUGACGCUGAGGCACGAAAGCGUGGGUAUCGAACAGGAUUAGAUACCCCUGUA